rnacentral:rRNA from 1 species
AUCAGCAUGCUGCGGUGAAUACGUUCCCGGGCCUUGCACACACCGCCCGUCACACCAUGAGAGUCGGGAACACCCGAAGUCCGUAGCCUAACAGCAAUGAGGGCGCGGCCGAAGGUGGGUUCGAUAAUUGGGGUGAAGUCGUAACAAGGUAGC